rnacentral:lncRNA from 1 species
AUGAGCAGCAAGCUGUUGGGCCUCCGUAACAUUUUAAAAAGAAAAAAUAAAUUCGGCAGAAGACAAUACAACUUUAAAAGACUCGAAAUAAACAAUGCGUUGGAGCCAACGCUUCUAUCCGAGCAAAUCCUGCGGUGCCGUAUUUUGCCAAGUCACAUAAAAAUAUGCUGUUCAACUUACAACGUCCCUGAUGCCCAAACACUGCAAACUUUUCGGAAAGAAAAACGAUGGGGCCCCAGGACGCCACCGGCCGCGAACCGGACCCCAGUCCUCACGCCCCGCAACUUCUCUUCUCGCCGGACCUCGGGGCCCCGCUGGCGCCUCGGCCCGCCCCCCGCCCGCGGUCCCGCGGCCCCGGCAGGCACCAGCGCGGACCCUCCGGACGGCCCCCGAGCCCGCGGGCGCAGGCGGCGGUGUUCUACGGGCGGGCGAGGCUCGCUGCCGGCGCCCGCGGGCCAACGCCAGCGCGCGGGGAGCGGCCCGGGAGCGCCCCGUUUCUCACAGACCCCAACAUGGCGUCGGCCGCCGCCCGCGACGACGACACCUCCCCGCGCCGCAGACGGCCCGGAGACCGCGGAGGCAAGCGCCGGAAAGUUUCGCUUCUCCUCUCCCGGCCCGCCAGGGACGGGCGCACAACCAACCUCGGGCUUCACCUACCCGGCCGGGCGCGGGCGGCGGCGACGGCAGCGAAGGUCCGAUUCCUCGUCGUCCCGGGCGCCGGGCGCGGACUCUGCCCGUUCCUCCGCCCCAGUCUCCCAGGGUGUGUGCAGCCAGCGGCCCCGCGCAGUCGGCGCGAUCCGGACGCGGCGGGCGGGCGGACGACCGGCACAGCCGCUCGCAGGUAUGAAAACCUGUCCCUUCAGAAUGCCAACCGGAAAGACAAUGCCAAAGGAAUUUUGUCACACCCAAGAUGGGCCAUUGAUGGAUUUAAUGAUGUCUCUGUCCUUAGUCCCAGGAAGGAGGACAGGACACCGCAGUGAGGGGACCUCAGAGUCCUCAGAGGGGACAGCAGAGGUGCCAGAGAGAACCUCAGAAGUAAGGAGGACCCAUGUGGACUCGAUCUCUUGGGAACUGGCUGUUUCUUGAGACUGGGCCUAAGCAGCUUUGGUGAACCAGUCCCAAAUCCUACCAUCGAAAAGGAAAAUAUGGUGAGGUUGCAGACUUAUGUGCCUGGAGUCUGCUGGACAGUUUCUGUGAAAAUUUCCCAAAGCAGGGAUCUCGCCAGAUUUCCAUGUGACAGCAAAAGCCUUGGCUGCAGGGAACUGCUUAGGACAUUUCUCUAUACCUAGGUUUUCUUGACCUAAGCAUAUGUGAAGGGCUGCUGUCUGACUCACCCUUCAUUUGACCUAUUUUUGAAACGACUUCUUUACAAAAAGCUGGAGAUAAGUGCAGAGAAUUACACAUUUAUAAUCCUAGUAUAGACAGGAUUGUCUAACCCUCUCAUUUUAGCUGCUCCCUGUCCUGCCAGUGGUAGGUGAAUGCUGACCAAAUGUUGGCAAGAGUCUAAUGGCCUAAGCUAUUUGCUCUAGCAGUAAUUACCAGGAAGGUAGGGGUGGGAUAGGAGAUGGGGAGUGGGGGA